UAGGUGAAUAACUUGCAUUGUUUGCUGGGACAUCAACCAUUCCUCAAAUCAGGUAUAGUCAAAUACAUACAUACUUUUUAACCGAUUAGGAUACAAAUAGAUAAAUAAAUAUGUGACCUGGGUAAGUGUACACAAAAUGAUAAGAAGUGUCCGUCCUCACCAACAAUUCCCUUAUUUAUGUUCACAACGGCCAAUUUUACGGUUCAUUGACGUCUUGCAAUUCGCUCACAUUUUACACAACUGAGAAAAAACUAAUCAUCAAACCAUCCUUUACAUCUCUUCCUAAUCACAACGACUAGGCAAAAUUAUUUGUGACAACGUCUGUUUUUGAAUGUCUAUUUCACAUUUACAGUUUCCUCGAUCCCUUUGAUAAAUAAGGCCGCAGACAGUUAUUCCUUUAAACACGUCAACGUUAUAUUUCCCCGGAAUGAUUCACAUCCUUGUUUGCGGUUUACCAAAAUCUGGGACGACUAGCCUAAAAAAUCUCGGGGGAUAUGCGGGAUGAAAUUAUCCGACUGCGGAGAGAAACACGGGAGAAAAUUUUAUUUUGGAUUAGGAAACAUGUCCAUGCGCCAGGGUUAAGGUUCAUCCACCAAAACCACAACCGCAAGGAAGAAGUUUUUGUUUGAUUCUUUAACCGAUUGUAAGGUUUCUUUUUGGAAAUUCUGUAUUUUAUAGGUCCUGGAAGUUGUAAGGUGAACGACCUACCAAAAUGCACUCCUGGGAUUCUUUUAAUGCUUGAAUUAUUUAAAUGAAUCUGGGACGACUAGCCUAAAAAAUCUUCUAGAGUUGGGUAACCAUGACGAAAACCAAACCGUUGAAGAAAUGCAGAUUGGUCGCAUUGAGGAAACCUUGGCCAACCUCAACCCGUCUAUUCCCACCUGCAUAAUCUACACUUUGAGAAAGGGCCGUGUUACAUCCGCCCUUGACGCUUUGUCCAUAAAGGAACGGCAAUACCUAUUCAACGACAAAGUUCCCACAAUCCUUUACAUUUCUCACUGCGACAACCUGUCGGAUAACACCUGGUGGAAAAUUAAUUCCGCAUUCGUCCAACAAUUCGGAAUUAUUCCUUGUCGUGAAGUAAUCCAUGGUUCAAUCCGGACGUGUUCGUCGAAUGGGUGGGACCCAGAGCCGAGAACCGAACUAAUGACUGCAAUCCAGAAGAAUUCUGGGACUGAGUGGAUUCAAGAAAUUCAAAAUGAGAUGCGAAACCGAGGAACACUCUUAGGAAGGGGGUUCCCGCUCCUGCCUAGAUUUCUUUACGGUCUCGCUAGCAUUUGUGUAUCUUAUUGCGUUACUAAAUCAGUUAGAAGGUAUUGUUUCAUUCCAAGAUUUAUAAUUGACGUGUACGGAUCUGGGUUAGUUAAAAAGGUUGUUAAUGUCUUGGCAUCCGUGCGGGAUUUUGUUUUCGCGCAUCGCAAUCGUCGAGAGGGCCCAGGCCUGGGGGAAAUUGAACUUUACGUGGUCUCCAGCUAUUAAAUCAAUCAACAAAAAUAUUUUAUCAAAAAAGUUUGACUUAAAAAACUAGGCUAGAAUUGAUCUGAUGGGCAUUGUAAUUAAUUUGUUUAGUGGAAUAAAGUGUGGUUUAUUUAUAUUCGAAAAA